GUAUCCGAUACGGCAAGAACUUCUGUUAGAAUAAGGAACUAAGCGUUCGAGAUAAUAGCAGUGGCUCACUUCGUGUGAUCUUUACUUUCUUGCUUGCAUGCACGUUUUUAUUGUAGUGACCAAAAAAAAAGUUAUUCGCUCUGGCUGCUCCUCUGUGUGUUUCCUUGGUGCAACUGCUUGCAGUGCAGCAAGACGUUUUGCUUCGAAUGAUGUCUCGGCAGUCAAUGCAUUCGUGUCAGUAAGCAAGCUGUAAAUGUUGUAUCAGUUCCCAAAAAAAUACUUGGACAUACAAGAGAAGCAGAUGCAAUCAUAAUAGACUGUAUUUUACGAAUAAUUCAGUUGUAUUACUAAAUCGGAGAGUAAAUAUGCAGGGAAAUCAGAUUGUAUUGAUACUCGGCAGGAACAAGGUAACUUAUCAUUACUAAUGAAUCAUUUUUUUUAAUUAAAGACUAGUUGCUGUUGUCCUGCUGGAGCUGAGAAAAGGUCUGCUGCCUGCAAUGGGUCCACCUCUCUCAUAUUAUCACAGUAUUAUCAAAGUGUGUGGAUUUUUUUUUCUCUCAGCAUUUUGCUACCUGAAUCAUGACCAUCUACUUAGCUGUGUAGGUGAUCACUAUUAGUGACAUUGGAGUGCUGGUGGACAAGCACCCCUUCGUCAUUGCAACACAUAUGACAAAGUGCAGCUGUGGCAGUAUGCGAAGGUGUUAAUAUAUAAGCCCAAUUAGGUUCUCUGAGUUGAUAUUGUCACGAUAUGUUAAUAUAUUGAUGCCAUUCGAUUGUGGUCUAGCAGGCAUGAAUGCUAAACAAGGAGAAGUAAUGUUAAUUUGCGCUUGUUAAGUUGUGCAAGCAAAUCAAUUAAGCUGGUACACAUGAAAUGGGACAUUUCUAGAUGUGGUCUACAAUGGUGCAGUCCUGAAUAGAUUUACAGUUAAGUAAUACCACUAUAAGUUCACUGUAAAGCAUGCAGCAAGGUUCAGCAUUGUAGGAGGCUGCCAUAAACAGAGGUGUAUUUGCGGUGAAGUUCAUAUGAAGUGUUCCUGUUAGGGUGACUACAUAAAAUUUGUGCUUUAGUUCUACUCUUGUAUGAGGCAGACAUAGAUGGGAAAAUUUAGUUCUUUUGGACAAUGGCAGAAAUGCAUGGGUAAUACUUCUAUACAUAGACAUUAUAUCGCUAUUGUUUAACCAAGUGGUGCCCCUGUGUGCUAAGGUUUACAGGGCUCUGAUUGAAUAAUGUGAACUUUUGUUGUAACAUUAAGGCAGCGCCUUUCAUGUUGCAUUGCAUACCAUCAUUGCAUACAUUGCAUACCAUCAUAGUGGGGUAUUUGUGCUAAAUGUAUUUGAAUUCGUCUAUAAAACCCUGCACACUGGUGCAUCAUGAAAAUUUAUCAUGUGAAACAUGUCAUGCAGCUUACCAAUUUGCAUGAAUAUAAUGCAAGAUUUUUUUUCGAUAGUUUCUGUCCUCGGAAUGCACUUCACGUUAUCUUCUUGUUCGCGACAAGUCUACAAUGCAGUUUUCUCUCUAUAUUUUCUGGUACUUCAAACUGCGGCGAGCUAAACAACUGGGCAGCAAUACUGGAAUCGCUACCGCGUGUGGAGCUGUAUUCAAACACACACGAGAAAACACGGCUUUGCCUUGUUUGACUGUGUCAUGGGCACUUCUGAAGUACUGUCUGUCCAAUAACCUUGGUGGAAUGGAAGCGCCGUCCAUUUCUAUGCGUUGCUUUCUGUUUCUUCGUGGCAUCACACCGCAUUAUAAACGUAAUAUAUAUGUUCUUUUUCUAAGAGGUCCAUAGUCCGCCUCUUGUGUUAUAUUUGCAGUCAUUAUUUAUGUGCAGAUGACCAGUGCUCCAGGUUCCACUUUAUCGCAAAGUAAGCUACUAGUACCUAAACAAUUCUGCAUAGCAGAAAACCAAAGCCGAAUUGCCGAACAUUACCAAGCAGCAGCCUCAGAGCAGUCUCCCGUAGAUAGAUUGCAUUGGUCAUGCAAAGGUGCACAGCGUAGCUCUUUAUUACUUGCUGAACAAUUAAGCUGUGUGAAAACUGUAUAUUUAUGUAGCUUCCACCGCAUGCUAUUGACCAUUGCUCCUGCCCUCAGCAAAUGUGGAAGAUUAUCACGGCAUUUCUUUUUCUAACUCAUUUUUAUUAUAGCAGUGGGAAUACUGCAUGUGUAAGUAGGAAACGAAUCACAUAGGCAAUCAAAAGCCAACAAUGUGUAAACUUGGAACAUUGAUUGUGCAGUUUGAUGACUAAGAAUAGGUAGAAAUACACCAUAAACAAUUGACAAUUAACUUUUACUUGACACAGGGCUAAAGCAUACAGUAACCAUACUGUAUACUCAUACAGUGUCACGUAAAUUUAAAUUGUAGUGUAGCUUUACAGUGUAUGCUUCUAUUGUUGCAAUCUGUCAGAGCGUUGGUAGCAUGUUUUACACGUCUAGCAACAGUAGUAAAAAUGCGCCAACUGUAUCUUUUAAUGAUUUGAUAGAAUAUGUAGGCAGUCGCUUAGAAAAAAUAAAGCCACAGAAUCAACGCAGUGAUGUGACUUUCUCUGCAUGUGUUGCACGUUCAAAAAAAGUAAGGUGUAAGCUGUUGCCAAGGUUCCGACCAGAAAGGAAAGCCAGUAUAAAGAGUCCACACCACUGUUCUCUACUACAGGGGGUGGAUAGCACGUCGAGGGCCCUCAACUGAAGCCAACUUUGUCCCGGAAGUUGGCGCUUCAUGACUGCAGCAGCACUUCGUCUGCAUGGCCUGUAAAGACAAGGUUUCUUAGACAUGGCCAUGGCCCUCAAGAAAGAUACCGAGGCCACAGCAGUUUACUGCAGAAGCCAAGGCCAAGCAGUUCCUCCAAUGACCGUGAAAAGGUCCCCUGGGGUACAAGUCUAAUUCGGCGCCACCACCUUUCUCCUGCAGCUUUUCUACCUACUUAGCUAACCAGCAGCAAGUUUAUCCUUGCAAGGCAUUUCGGGUCAAGAAUAACUUACCCCAGGAAAAAUUGCAAGCUGAGUGACUGAAGAAAAU